UACGUAGGGGGCAAGCGUUGUCCGGAUUUAUUGGGCGUAAAGCGCGUGUAGGCGGCUUUACAGGUCCGUUGUGAAAACUCGAGGCUCAACCUCGAGACGCCGGUGGAAACCGUAAAGCUAGAGUCCGGAAGAGGAGAGUGGAAUUCCUGGUGUAGCGGCGAAAUGCGCAGAUAUCAGGAGGAACACCCGUGGCGAAAGCGGCUCUCUGGGACGGUACUGACGCUGAGACGCGAAAGCGUGGGGAGCAAACAGG
rnacentral:rRNA from 1 species